UAUCUCUUAGCAGCUGCAGGCUGGAAGCUUGUGCAGAAAAGUGGGUGGGGCUAAGACUAAGGCAUGCAAAAUAACAGCCCCAUGAUUCAAAUAGCAGGAAGCUUGCAACAAAGCAUUUUCAGUGAAUAGUCCAUGAACUAGAACUGUUUGCCCCUUUAGUCCACCAGAGUGUGAAUGUGGUGAUUCUUAUGGUCUGAAUUAAGAUUUGUCUGGUUUCCCAAUCACAUAUUUUUCAAGAGGAAGGUGAAUUUGGGAACAGAGUAAGGCAGAGAUAGAGGUCAUUUUGCAUCUGGAAAGGUCUUCUAGUCUGUUUUAAUAUUUGCUUGAUACAUUUUGUUAAAAUCUGCUGUUUAAACAUUUGUUUUCAUAUACCCACAGCACGUGAUAGGCAACCUAACAAGCUCAAGUUAACUUCUGUGGGACUAAUUGUUAGGAACCUACCAAAAUGGUGAUUGUUGUGGUGGGUAUUAUAAGGCAGAGGCCCACGCCUGCCCAGCCUCUUAUUUGUGUGUGCUGUUGGGGAUAGGCAGUGCUGAGACCAUCUGGUUCUCUCAGAUGUUCUUUUCUCUCCUGCCAAGUCUUGAUGGGAGUUGGGUGUAGGAUGAGUGACCAUUCUCCCAGAUUUUCCCCCAGAGGUUUGCUUCAUGGGGCUCAUCCUCCCUUACAUCAUCCCUGAUGAUACACGUUUGGGCUAGGAUCUUGUUUAACCUAAAUAUACUGCUGGCCAUUGCUGGCUGGCUUACCGAAUAAAGUUCUUGAGAUAUGUUCACUCACUUGGGCUCACAAAGACCAGCCUUCCAUAUUCCUUAUAAGUCCCAGGGUCCCUCAAUUCAGAUAAAGUCAAUAAAACAUUCUCAAGUCAAUAAAACAAACCUCCCAUCAGUUCACUACCCAGGUUCUUGGGUCUGUCAAAAUGAAAUCAGCUCACCAAGGGUCCACUGAAAGCUCAAAAAAACCCGAGGCAAAUAUGGAAUCAAAUCCUUCCCAGCUCAUGGGUCUAUUAAAUUAAAUAAGUCCUCCAAGGAUCCAUCAGAUCAUCAACUGGGAUUACAUUCUCUCCCAGGUCUUGGGCCAAUCUACUCAGAAAUUUCACCUGGGUUCUUACCCUGCCUUAUCUAGUCAAGGUUAGGUCAAUUAACUUUUGCAGGGCACAGAUCUUUCUGCUGUUCCCUUGGCCUACCAUGAGAAAGAAACACCAUAAAACAAAAAAAAAAAAACCCACAAAAAGAAGAGCGAGAAUCAAAUUGGGCUGUGCCCUGACAACUCAUUGACCCAUUUGCGGGGGCUGCACCCUCACUCUUCCUCACUCUGCUGUUGGCUGGCCUUUGGCUCUGCCACUUUAGUCCUCACCUGGCUGUUCUCAGGCAAUCCCAUGUUGCAAAGUAUCUGAGGCUCUGCUAGUGGUCCUCCAACCACCCUUGCCAGCUGGCUUACCUGCUUCCUUCAACAGUUGGCCAUGGGUCACCGUCAGCUGAGAAACCCUCUGGCAGUUCUGCACUCCACCAGCUAUGGUCCUUCCCUGGCUGCCCCCCUCCAGGGCCAGAAAUAUUUCUCCUUGUGCUCCAUCCACCAAUCUGGAGGAAGCAUGCACUGCAGAAGCGCAUUGGCCCCAUCACAGCUCCAGCUAUAUUCUCUGCACCAGCAACUUUAAUUGGCCAGCUAUCAAGGAAAAAUGCUUUAAAGCUAUACAAUUAAACAGUAUAAAACAAGACAGAACUGCCAGCAAGAUGUGUGCAGUCCAGGGAAGACCAAGAAGCUAUUCUGCCAUCCAGCCAACAAGUGAAGGAUCCACGCUGUGAGGGUGUACAAGAACUGCUUCCUGCCUACAUUGGAUGGUCGCAGUGCAGGCAGGAAAACUUGCUUGAGUUGCAGUUACAGACAGGAAACAAAACAAAACUCGAACCUGCAAGGCACGAGAGUACAUCGCAAGGGGUUUUCGGCGACGGGAAGAUGCAAGACACGAGGGUACGUCGCAAUGGGUUUUCGGCAACGGGAAGAUAAACCUGCAGGACUCGAACCCGGACAGAGCUCUGGAUACACUCACGCAAAGUUUGCUAGGCUCCGUGGAACUUGCGCGCAGGGAAGGGGUUUGUCGAGGGAUCGUUCGGUGACGGGGAGAGGCCAGAGGUUGAUCAGACCCCUAUAGCCUUCACAAGAUACACGCUGGGUCCGAUAGGCUCCGCAGCACUUAGAGGUCUUCACAAGACGUGAAGUCCUCGUCCUCCAGGUGGUUGUGGAAUCCUCCAACUUGGGCGGAAACUGCUCAAGCCUCUUAUAUGGCUAGCAAGCCAAUCGCUAGCCGCCACGUGGGAAUAAUUUAGAACUGGCCAAUAGUGGGACACAAAUUUGCAUGCAGGUGGCGGGAACUCCUUUGCACCGGGGUUUUCUCUUUGCAACUGAGAAAUGCACCCUGCAAAGAAAGCUCCUCGUGGCGGGAAAUAAUUUAGCAGUGCCAAAGCGCACACACACAAAAUCACACCCUUGGGUUGUGACAUGCAUAACCCUAGUAGUUAUUAAAGAAAGCCUGUCUGCUAUUCAUUAACAAGUGUUGUGUCAACUCUUAGAGUACUAGGUUUAAAAACCCAAUUUUAAGUGCAACACCAGCCAGCCCCUCCAAUGUCUACACAUGCACUGCUGUGGAAUUUUUAUUCCACAGCAGGAUAGUACUUAUAUUUACAAGUACUAUUCCCAUACUCUGUUGCAGAGUAAAUUAGUUUACUAUAGCCUAAUAGGUGUGCACAUGUAGCCACUGAGACAUUUAUUAUGCAGCUAAUUAGUCAACUAAGCAGUAAGUGUCUCACGUAAACAUGCCCACUUAAUACUUAUAUUGAGUCAGUUCCACCUAAGACUAAGAGGCCAUCAAGCUAACAUGGUUAAGGCAAGCCAACUUCUUUGCAUAUAAGGGAACAUGAUGAGUAUAACGUGGAGCUGCUUUUGAUUCCACAACCUAUAUGGCAAAGCGUUCAUUUACACCUAGGCCAAUCUUUGUUCCAAGUCUGGAGUGGGCCUGAACUCCUCUCUAGGACCCAUGCACAACAUAUUACCUACUUUGCUAUCAAGCCCCUGGGUCCUUGACCCUAACCCUUUAUAGGCUCUAACUAUAAGUGCAUUACAAUUAAAUAAACAUAUUUUAAAGCUGCUCUUGAAAUCCAAUCCCUGUUUUAGGAACAGGGUUGAGAGACAGCAUUUCAUAUCAGACUUCAGCUGAGAGUCUAGGUAUGACUGGCACAUUUCAUCAGAACCCUAAGAUGUCUGCUGUCCAAAAAAUUUUUAAAAUUACAUUGAACUCUUAUCACAUGAAAGUUACAUUAGCUGCAUUCUAUUAUAUAAUGUAAUGAAAUGUCAAAGGAGUACUCAAGAUGAAAUGCCAGAAAAAGAGACAUCAACUGAAGGCUAUGUGAAACCACAGUUUCCUCAAAAUUGUGGUUUGAAGAUAAAUAUGGCUUUUAAAGAAAACCAUUUUUACUGCAUUUAUUAAUAAAUCAAACUUAAUAAAAAAACAGAUCCAACAUUAAAAAAUACAUCCAAUCCUCCAAAAUAUACAUAAAGACAGAUAUCAAUCUUCCCCCAACAUGCUACCACAACUUAAAUCAAUAUCCACAGAAGUCUUGUGCUCCUUUCCUCUUCCCCCCAAGUUCCUGACAGUUCCCCAACACCUCUGUCAAUGUAAGCUUCCAUGUUUCCUCAUCUGUACACAAUAAUUCACCACCUCCUCCUCCACAAAAUUCUGCACAAUGCACACCCCACUAUCCUUCACUCAUCUCGCCCCCCAAACCUCAGAAUCAUUCCAAAUUAAUUCGCAAGCCCACAGAACUUGCACUUCAAUAUUAGAAAACGUUUCUCAAUUUUUUCAGUUUCGAGGCAGGAGAAAAAUCUAUUUUUUUUUUAGCAAAUUCCAAAAAUUUCCAACAGAUUUCCAGGUAAGCAUCUUUUUGUGUAGUCCCUUGUAGAGUACUGACUUGAUUAGGGAAACUGUCCCGUUAUUGAAGAAAACCAUUUUAAGUGGCCAGCUCUCUGCAAAUCACUGAGCAUCAGUUGUUGACUACAUAAAAUUUGUUGGAGAUAAUUAGUGCCUUUCACUAUCUGCAGGUCAGUGGCUAAAACCAUAUUGGGUGCAUCCAGACGAGUGUAGGUGACUGGUGUGGGGGCACGUGCCUCCUCUGAGAUUGGUCGCCACUGGUGCUGCCUUCUGCAGGUGGUUGCUGCUCGCUACGAUACUGCCACCCUUAAACUGUGCCCCCCGAAUCUCAGAAGGCACCAGUCACCCAUGCAGAUAAGUGAGCACAUGCUUGUUGCGGUGUCUCAAAUCAGUUUGAGAUGCUGCAAGAGGCACACCAGGAAUGAAAAAAUGUUCCCCAUACUGUGUAUUUGCAGAACGGACUCUAAUUUUGAUACCAGGAAAUCCCGGUAUUAAAAAAAAACCAAAAACACUCUGAAAAAAGUGGCUCAGGGCAUGACCCUGGAGUGUGCCCUGAAGCAACCAGAGACUCCAAAGAGACACUCUGUCACCUGGCCAGAGCAUCUCUAUGCCUACCCUCUUCACCUGCUGCUCCAGCACACUGCCUCAGUGUGCUGGGGUAAAUAGGAGCAGGGCAAGGCUGCAGCAGUGUCUUGGACCCAGGCACUGUCCCAGGUAAGUAGAGACGUGGGGGUGGGAGGGCUGUGGACACUCUUGCUGUCACCCAGGGUCCCCAGCACUGCACAUAGGGGCCGCAUGCCCUUGUGUCAGGCCAGGUCCUGGCUCCGGGGAGCCAGCCCGACCCAACGGUUCAUGGGGCACUUGGAGGCAGGACCUGGCCCAGCCCGAGGCCAUGCAGCCUCUGCAUGCAGUGCCAGGACCCUAGGUGAAAGCAAGAGCGGUUUGGUCUUGGUCAAAGGUGCACACCCCUGGGUUGGGCCAAACUGGGCCCGUGCCAUGUGGCACAGGUGGCACUGUGUCUAAGGCAGCUGGGUCUGCAUCACACCAUGGACAAGCGCAGCCAGUAGUGGGCCCUGAGCUCUCUGACAGCCUGCUGCUGGCUGUGGCUGCAGGGGGAAGGGGGGGCUGUUCGCUAUGCAGGGGGCAGAUGAGGAACCCACUCCUCCUGAGCAGUCCCCCACCACCCACAUGAUGCCCCCCCACAAUCCCCUCACAAUCUCCCCACAAACCCCACACCCCCAAACCACUCCCACAACCCUCCCCAACCAUAUACCUAGCCACAAACCCCACAGCUCCUAUACCCCACACAAGCCCCUACACACCCCACAAACCCUACACCCACCCCUACACCCACCCACAAGCUCCCCCUCACACCUCUUCCCCUCCACGCAGCUCUCUCUACUGUCUGUUCAGAUUGUUUUGAUUGGUUCUAAUUCUUUUCUCACUAGAUGUGGGUAUAUCAGAUAAACUUGAGUGAUAUCAAUGGAGUUAUGUCAGUGAAAAAGUGAUGAGAGUAAGGCCUAAAGUGCCUAGAACUAAUAUUGAUCAAGGGAGAUAAAUUAUGGGGGUAUUUAAAAAAACAACUGGAUCCAUCAAACCAAGCUACCCAGAUCAUUUAAGCAACUGUAAAUCCUAUCAUCUUAAGAAACCUUGCUUGUCUAUGUAAAAUGAACUGAGAUGUGGGGCAGGUUUUGCUGAGGCCCUUUUAUGUCCUUUUGGGAGGAGCAAGGUGGGAAUAGAAAAUAUCUCCAUACAGGUGUAGUGCCGGGUCGGUGCAUACAAUUACAGUGCCGCCUUCUAAGCAGCCUGUAUCAUAGAUCCAUACCAAAGGACAGCUCAGAUGAGAUGGGAAAUGUUUAGAGGACUUCAGCUAUUCCAGGCUGUCAAGUAGCCUGCUGGCAUGUCCAACGACUGCUCUGACAGACCAGCAGCCAAGCUGGCCUUUUGUGGUCAGCCAAGCCUGUAAAAGGAAAUGCAAAGGUGCAUAGGAAUAGGAAAUACAUAGGAAAUGCAAGCCUGUAACAUAGGAAAUGCAAAGGUGUAGAAUCACACUCUAUCUUUUCUCAAUAUUCUGCUAUUUUAAACAAAGUACCUGCAUUAUGAUGUUUCUUCUGCUGUGAAAUAUGAGGCCAUGUGGUUCAUCAUUCCCAGUGAUUCUCAGCCAGUGUGCCACAGCAUCCUGGUGCACCUUGACAAUCUUUCAAAGGUACUUUGGGGUGUGCCAUACAGUGUUAGCGCUGUUAGGUGUACAAACAGAAUACAGGAUUCACCAAAAUAAUCCAGAGAUUUCAAAUAGAAAUUUGUAGUGUUAAAAACAUUCUGGUCUGCUGUGUUCUGAAUUGUUUGGAA